GCAUAUCAAUAAGCGGAGGAAAAGAAACCAACAGGGAUUGCCUCAGUAACGGCGAAGUGAAGCGGCAACAGCUCAAAUUUGAAAUCUGGCCUCACGGUCCGAGUUGUAAUUUGUAGAGGAUGUUUCGAGCAUGGUCCGGCCUAAGUGUCUUGGAACAGGACGUCAUAGAGGGUGAGAACCCCGUAUGCGGUCGGGUGCCUACGCUCAUGUGAAACUCCUUCGACGAGUCGAGUUGUUUGGGAAUGCAGCUCAAAAUGGGUGGUAAAUUUCAUCUAAAGCUAAAUAUUGGCCAGAGACCGAUAGCGCACAAGUAGAGUGAUCGAAAGAUGAAAAGCACUUUGGAAAGAGAGUUAAACAGUACGUGAAAUUGUUGAAAGGGAAGCGCUUGCAACCAGACUUGGGCGCGGCCGAUCAUCCGGUGUUCUCACCGGUGCACUCGGUCGCGUGCAGGCCAGCAUCGGUUCUGGUGGCUGGAUAAAGGCCCUAGGAAUGUGGCUCCUCUCGGGGAGUGUUAUAGCCUAGGGUGCAAUGCAGCCUACCGGGACCGAGGACCGCGCUUCGGCUAGGAUGCUGGCGUAAUGGUUGUAAGUGACCCGUCUUGAAACACGGACCAAGGAGUCUAACAUCUAUGCGAGUGUUUGGGUGUCAAACCCAUACGCGUAAUGAAAGUGAACGGAGGUGAGAACCCUUAAGGGUGCAUCAUCGACCGAUCCUGAUGUCUUCGGAUGGAUUUGAGUAUGAGCAUAGCUGUUGGGACCCGAAAGAUGGUGAACUAUGCCUGACUAGGGUGAAGCCAGAGGAAACUCUGGUGGAGGCUCGCAGCGGUUCUGACGUGCAAAUCGAUCGUCAAAUUUGGGCAUAGGGGCGAAAGACUAAUCGAACCAUCUAGUAGCUGGUCCUGC
rnacentral:rRNA from 1 species